UACGGAGGGUGCGAGCGUUGUCCGGAAUCACUGGGCGUAAAGGGCGCGUAGGUGGCGCGAGAAGUCAACGGUGAAAGCUCGGAGCUCAACCCCGAGUCGGCCGUCGAUACUCUUGGGCUCGAGCACUGUAGAGGCAGGUGGAAUUCCGGGUGUAGCGGUGGAAUGCGUAGAGAUCCGGAAGAACACCGGUGGCGAAGGCGGCCUGCUGGGCAGUAGCUGACACUGAGGCGCGACAGCGUGGGGAGCAAACAGG
rnacentral:rRNA from 1 species